rnacentral:rRNA from 1 species
UACGAAGGGGGCUAGCGUUGCUCGGAAUUACUGGGCGUAAAGGGCGCGUAGGCGGAUAGUUUAGUCAGAGGUGAAAGCCCAGGGCUCAACCCUGGAAUUGCCUUUGAUACUGGCUAUCUUGAGUUCGGGAGAGGUGAGUGGAACUCCGAGUGUAGAGGUGAAAUUCGUAGAUAUUCGGAAGAACACCAGUGGCGAAGGCGGCUCACUGGACCGGUAUUGACGCUGAGGUGCGAAAGCGUGGGGAGCAAACAGG